UUAAAAAUUUGUAUUCUUUGUUAUGAACAAAUAAAAUUAAUAAAGUUAAAAUUUUAAAAUCAAAUGUACAAAAAAGAAAAUUAGAAAAAGUAACAAAAACUAAAACUAAAACCAAGCCCAGAAAACCCUACCCCCAUCCAUCUUCCCCAACCAAAUUUGGAUUAGGAGGAAGAAAAAUGCAAAAUCUAUGGCACCACAAUGGCUGCUUGGCCAUAAUAACAUAAUUUGGACCAGGAUACUAAAGAUAGCACUGAUCAAUCAAAGUUGGAAUUUCCCUAUGAAUUCGAAUCGGAAUCCCAAUCUCCAUCAUCAUCAACUCGUCAUCGUCAUCGCUACUGCCCAUCAGAGAUCCUCACGUUCGCAUGGCCACUGCUCAUUGGAAGUCCUCACGCUUGCAUCGUCAUGUACGUGGCCAUGGUUCACACAUGCCCCGCCUUCUUUCUAGCCCUCGGUUACGGUGAAAAACCAAGAAAUUCUUUAGUGUCGAGUCGAGAAAGUUGGCGAAGCUACGGUUCGGAUCUUGGAGGGGAAUGAUAGAGGAAAGAGAAAUAAGUGUUUUGGUGGUAAAGUGGUUAUUAGUGGUGGUCAGAGUUGGCCGGUCUGGGCUCUGAAAUUUUUGGCAACUGCUACAGUUUUGGGGCUUGAUUGAGGGUUAUGAUGUCAGUGGCCGUGAUAGGACGACGAAAAUUGUAGGCCUGGAAAACUAGAAGGCAUUGGGUGCGCAACAGUUUCUUCUCAUUGUUUUCACGUGAUACAUGACAUGACACUGAGAGAAGUGUUCUUGUUUUUGUUUUUAGUUUUUUU
rnacentral:lncRNA from 1 species